rnacentral:lncRNA from 1 species
CAGUCUCAGUGGGCGGUUGGGCGGGGGGACAUGGGGGCACACCAAAAUAACCUCCCUGACUGGUGAGGUGUCAUGCUGGGCAAAUGAAACUCCCUGUGCCUCAGUUUCUUCAUCUGUCAAAUGGAAAAGUUACUACUACUAAUCAGCUCAUGUGAAGAUUAAAGGCAUUCAUGUAUAUGAGAUACUCCAUGCCUGGCACAUAAUGAGACCUUAAUAAGUCAUUGCUAUGAUGAUAAUGAUGACGCUGGAGGCAGAGACAGCAGCAUGUGGGGGGUUGAGACCAAGUAGACAGCACAUCUAGAGUCAUCAGGGUAGGCUUUGGAGCAGGUGGUUGUAGAUGUGGCCUUGAAGGCUGGGAGGGGUGUGUCCCAGGAGGCAGAAAGAACAGGAGGAGGUAAAGUACGUAUAUAAUGCUGGCAAUUCUGGAAGCUACCCAGUGUGGCUACACACCAGGGUCAGGGCAAGGGGUAUGAGCCUGGAGCCUGGAAGACCGCUGUGCAGGUGAGGAGGAGAGAUGUUGAGAUCUUCUCCCACCCACUUCAGUGCCAGAGAGGAGGGAUCUUCCCCGCACAGCACAGGAGCUGUCAGGACAGAGAGCCACAGGCCUCAGAGCUGGGCACGAACCAAAUGCCUCCUGGAUCCACCAAGGUGUGAAGGAUAAAUGUGCUCCCCGUUACUGCACUGCCACGGGAGGGACCCUGAUCAUUCCCUGGCAGGACCUACGGCCUCCCACCACCACCUUUCUUCUGGUCCCAUGGAUUGCCUGGCUCCCAGCACCCUGGGCCCAGGUCUUCUUUCCCAUUGAUGGCUCCCAGAGGGAAAGGAAAUUAAUAGCACUUGAGUCUGCUCUGAAGCUCCUUUCCUCGCCUCGCCUCCGACACUGCGGCGGGCUGCAAAACACGGAGCGCGGAGCCGCCGCCACACCUGGAAUCCGAAGCGGGCUAUCGGCCGCAGCCGCCUCCGCCUGUGCGGGGAGGGGAGUGCGCGCGCGCGGGCGCGCGGGCUUGUGUGUGUCCAACUCGGGCUACGCAGGAGCUGAUUAUGAUUUGAGACGGAGGCUGCCUCAAAUCAUGAGUGGGGAAGGAGUGUGGAAGAAGAAAAGGGGGACGUGUUUGUAUGUGUACGUGAACGUGAGGAUUUACUGAACAGGGGAAUAUCUCGUGUUUUGUUUUUUGAGUGUAUGUGGGGUUGUACAGCAAUGAGUGUGUGUGUGCAAUUGCGUGUCUGUGUGAGUGUGCUUGCUAUGGCCGUGUAUACGGGCAUAUUUGUGAGAGAAACUGUACGUGUGUGGGUGUGGAAUCGUGUUUGUAAUACUGAGUUGGCGCGAAUGUGUGUGCCGUUUGUGUAGGAGUUUCCAUGUAAGUGGCAACGGACUUGAGCCAAG